GGCUGGCUGGGAGAAGCGCUGGUCAACAGGAACUGCAAAGAGAGCAUCCUCAAAACUCUCCCCAGACUGAUGCUAUCACAGGCACAAAGGUCCUCAGUGGAUAAUGAAAUUUUUCCUGAGAGCAGCAGUAUCAGGAUAAAAGUGUGGGGCUGUGGAUAGAGGGACAGGUCCCCAGCAGCCUGGCACAACCGUGGUAGGGACAAGUGAUCCUCUAUUCCCCACAGCCCCUCCUGCUCAGCUCAUGGCUAUGGGAAGGGAUCAGGUGUGGCAGAAGCACAAAAACACUGUGCCAAACAGAGGGGGACAUGGGAAAUCACAACAAAACUCACUGAGAGGUAUUGCAGAAAAGGGCAGUGAUGCCAUUGCACAAUCUGUGUGUUCAGCUCACCUGUGGCUCCGGAGCUGCUGUGUGUCCUCACCACGGCUCAGGGCUCCUCCGCUGCCCAGCUGGGGCUCUGUUUAUGUCCUUUGGAAGUGGACACUGCUUGAAGGUCGUCUCCCCAUUAUUUUACCUCAAACUUCAUCAGAAAGUUAGAGAAAACUCUUGAUUGAUUAACGUGUAUUUAUGACUCGGCUCCUGCAUUUUUCUGACACCUUACCCUUGCCCAGUAGGUUCCUCCUCCUCAUUUGAAUGGAAUCAUGCAUGAGAGUCCUGCAGCAGCUGGGUCACACCUUGGCUUUGAUCAUGGUUAACUCUUACUCCUCCGCUCUCCUCUCAUGCAUACACUUCUGUUCUCUCUUCCCUCUCACCAGUCCUAACACUUCCAUUUUGAGCUUCAGCAGGGCAAAGAGGUGAGAGAGAUGUUUCCAGUCUGCCCUGGAUCACACAGAGCGGAGGCAACUCGACCGGAGGUUUUACUGUGAUGGAACAGGAGGGUGGUCCUGAUGGGGGUCUCAGCAUUGUUCCCUAAUCUUUGCCGGGGGGUGCAGAGUAGGACAUCAGCAUGGCCCAGCUGGGGCAGCCAGCCAUUCCCUGCAUAUGACCCAGCUGUCAUGGGGCUGGUUGCGGUGGAAAGAUGUACUUUCUGGCUGCCUUAUCUCAGCUGAGUCAAACACAGAGAUGCUGGCAGGGAGGAGCUCUUGUUGCACUGUCUGACCUUCCUGGAGCACUCUGCCCUAUGGCUGUGUGCUCCAGCUUAACCCCCUGUGAAAUCAGGGGCUCAGCCACCCCUGAACUCUCUGUCUGCAGCACAGACUGCCCAGCCUGUCACCAUGGUGUCCCUCACAUUGCCACGUGCUGCUGAGGGAGACCUGGAGCCCAGACUGUGGCACCACUCCACUCCCACCUCCACCCAUCACACAACCUUCGGACCCAAGUUGGUUGCUUCACUGGAUGAGAAUGGAUGAGUGUCCUCUCCCUCCCUGGGUCUGAAGAUUUCCUGCUGUCUGUGCAGCAGCCAGGACGGGGCUUUCUGAGAAGCGGGGCCCCAUCUCCAGGCUGGAUCGGGGGCAAUGACCAGCCGAGAUCCCUCACACAUCCACCUUUCCCCUAGGAGGAAAUAUGGAUGAGUCUUGCGAGGAACUGUGGAGGAGUGAAGGCAGGAGAACCAGUUCCCCUGCACUGUCCCUGAGCAAACAGCCUGCCUGGUGCCGGGGGCUGGCAGGGCUGGGGCAGGGCUGCAGUGGGCACAUGGCUCUGGGAAGGUACAGGGCAGGGCAGAGGCUUUGCUGGGAGUGGGAACGCUGUCUGUAAACAGCUCAGAUAGAAAAUCUUGAGGCAAGUCACAGGGAAGGGCUUAGUGAUCUUGUUGACACAACUCUCCUCGCAGAUACAUCUGGAACAGGAGAGAGUGGGGUGCAGGGGUGAACUGGAGGCCACGUGCAGUAGAUCCCUUCCCAAACCUGCAUCAUGUCCUUAGCGUGCAGUUUUGCUUCCUUUCUUAGUGCCUCCUUUCUUAGUAGGCUUGCUUCCACCCUGGAUAAUCAAAUCAGAUAAUUAACUCUAGGUUGAGCACCAGCCCCAUCUCUUCUCAGGAGGCACAAGGCUGGUUCCCCCAACGUCUGCCCAUGUGCACUUUCUCAUGGGUGUCACUGUCCCAGCUGGGCUCUGGGAGGCGAUAGCAGCCCUGACUCCAUGCCAGAGAGUGAUGCCACUUGAGGGAGUGGUCUAUAAAAGCAUGGGCAGGGGCUGCACACUUAGCCGUGGGUGCUGAGUCCUGAUUCUGGUGAGCCCCGGCCCUGUUUGCCAUCAGGGAUGUGCUGUGAUGGAGUGGAAAGUGGUGUUUGCUCGUAACUUCAAAAGUGACCCAACAGCCCCAUUCUUCCAACUGUAGACUGACAAAUCUGCUUUUAGCAGGAGGCACGGCCAGAGUACAUGCACACACCUAUUUGAUCUGCUCUUGAGGGCCAUGUCUUUGUCCCCAGGCCUUCACGUGACUCUGAGACCCAGAAGGAAGUCACGGAUCAGCAGGAGGCUCUGUGCAGCCCAGCACCUGCCCACAGCUGCUACGUGUGUGCAGGCAGUGCCAGUGCCUGGUGCCCUUAUUCCAGCAGGACUGCUGGAGCUGGAGACAUUCAGAACUGCCCAAGGGAUGUGCGCCCCCAUACUCCUACAGUUCUUGGAGGGUAAACAGCACGUCAGACCUUUCCUCCCUGUGCUCUUUCCACACGUGCCCUGAUGGCUCUGACUGCACAGCCCCACACAUAGCCCACAGACCGGCUCACAACCGAAGUCCUGUUCUCUGGGCUUCCCUCCCACUGGCCACUACUUUUUCCACAACCCAAGCCCUGAAUUAGCCAAAGCCGAACAAGAGCAUCAUAACAUCGAGAUCUCCUUGCAGAGCUGCUCUGUGCAAUCAGGAGGGCCAUAGGGAAGAGGUAGAAGGUGGAACAGUGACGUGGUGGAGGUUUCCCUCUGCAAGGCUGGAGGCUGCAGGAGAUCAGGAAGCCCCUGUGCUCUGGGAGGUGCCUGUGUUCUCUGAUCACUUUGUGCCAGUGCUCCCAGCAGUUUGGAGCUGAGCCACCAGGGCUGCAAUUUGCUGUCAUCUACACAGAGGUAUGACACAUCCUCUGCACAGGAGCUUAUUGAACACAAAACAAAGCUUAAUUAUGGGAAUACAGGAUGAGCUGGGAAGCCCAUCAGCACAUCAUAGAAUUCCCACUCCUGACACCCAUGUGUUGUCUCUACCUCCUGCACACACAGUAAACCAGUGAGCUCCUUUCUGA